AUUGAACGCUGGCGGCAGGCCUAACACAUGCAAGUCGAACGAGUGGCGGACGGGUGAGUAAUGUCUGGGAAACUGCCCGAUGGAGGGGGAUAACUACUGGAAACGGUAGCUAAUACCGCAUACCAUCGGAUGUGCCCAGAUGGGAUUAGCUUGUAGGUGAGGUAACGGCUCACCUAGGCGACGAUCCCUAGCUGGUCUGAGAGGAUGACCAGACACACUGGAACGGAGAAACGGUGCAGACUCCUAUGGGAGGCAGUAGUGGGGAAUAUGGCGCAAGGGGCGCCAGCCUGAUGCAGCCAUGGCGCGUGUAUGAAGAAGGCCUGAGGGUUGUAAAGUACUUGCAGCGGGGAGGCGUUACCCGCUGAAGAAGCACCGUCUAAAGCCGUGCCAGCAGACGCGGGAAUUC
rnacentral:rRNA from 1 species